rnacentral:rRNA from 1 species
UACGUAGGCAGCAAGCGUUGUUCGGAAUUACUGGGCGUAAAGAGUGUGUAGGCGGUGCUCUAAGUUCGGUGUGAAAUCUCCCGGCUUAACUGGGAGGUGCGCAGGAAACUGGAGUGCUCGAGCGUGGGAGAGGAAAGCGGAAUUCCUGGUGUAGCGGUGAAAUGCGUAGAUAUCAGGAGGAACACCGAUGGCGAAGGCAGGUCUCUGGGCCGAUACUGACGCU